CCUACGGGUGGCAGCAGUGGGGGAUAUUGCACAAUGGGGGAAACCCUGAUGCAGCGACGCCGCGUGGGUGAAGAAGCGCCUCGGCGCGUAAAGCCCUGUCAGCAGGGAAGAAAAUGACGGUAACUGAAGAAGAAGCCCCGGCUAACUAAGUGCCAGCAGCCGCGGGAAUACGGAGGGGGCAAGCGUUCGCCGGAUUUACUGGGUGCAAAGGGGGCGCAGACGGCGAUGCAAGCCAGGAGUGAAAGCCCGGGGCCCAACGCGGGGACUGCUCUUGGAACUGCGAGGCUGGAGUGAGGGAGGGGCGAGCGGAAUUCCAGGUGUAGGAGUGAAAUGCGUAGAUAUCAGGAGGAACACCAGUGGCGAAGGCGACCAGCUGGAAUACAACUGACGUUGAGGAGCGAAAGCGUGGGGAGCAAACAGGAUUAGAUACCCCUGUAGUC
rnacentral:rRNA from 1 species